GUAACAAGUAGAAUGGAUAAGGGAGAGCCAGUGGAUGUGAAAAAGUGAAAUCUAAAAUGGAGUUGUUCGUCUACAAAAGCAUGAUCUAAUAGAACAAAAGAAUGGCUCGGUGCCAAGUGUGAAUGACUUUGUAAAUUAUAUGGAACACAAUAUGGAGGACAGGUUGUCUUUUCAAUAAAUACAUUAAGAUGGCAGUCUGCAGUAAAAACAUGUGCUUCAUUCAAGGCCAUAAAGAAGCCAAGAUUGAAAAAAUAGCUGACGCUCCAGAGAUAAGUAAUAACUUGUUAUUGGAUGAGCUUGAU